AUGGGGCUUGGGCUCAGCUGGGUUUUCCUUGUUGCUAUUUUAAGAGGUGUCCAGGGUGAGGUGCAGCUGGUGGAGUCUGGGGGAGCCGUGGUGAAGCCUGGGGGGUCUCUGAGACUCUCCUGUGCAGCCUCUGGAUUCACCUUCAGUAGCUAUGACAUGAGCUGGGUCCGCCAGGCUCCACGGAAAGGGCUGGAGUGGGUAGGUCUAAUUUAUCCUGAUGGAAGUAGCACAUAUUAUGCAGACUCUGUCAAGGGUCGAUUCACCAUCUCCAGAGACAACGCCAAGAAGACGCUGUAUCUGCAAAUGAACAGCCUGAAAUCUGAGGACUCGGCCGUGUAUUUCUGUACAGACACACAGGCUGAGGACUCUGGGAAAGGCAGGGCCUUGGUCUCGAAGAAGAUGAGCCUGCUGGGUCUCGUCCUGUGCCUGGUGACAGCCCCUCAAGGUGUCCUGUCUGAGGUGCAGCUGCAGGAGUCGGGCCCAGGACUGGUGAAGCCCUAG